AUGAUGGGACCAGUGCGAGACAAAGAAAAAAUCCCCAAUUAUUUCGGCCAGUUCUUGCGGGGGCUAGUUCAAGACUCACCACAGGUUAAGAAAUCCUUAAUGGUAGGGUCUCUGACCCUGGGUGGUGUCUUGUCCACCUUGACGAACGAUACGAAACACCUGUUCGCCUUUGAGAACGGAACCAUCGCCCAGUAUUUCGGAUUCACCGGACAGGAUGUCGACAACCUCCUCGACACUUUCGCGAUCCGCGAGAAGAACGCCCAAUUGCGAAGCUUGUACAUGAGCUACAAGGUGCUAGACUCUCCGAAUCUAACCCUCUACAACCCUCUUUCUAUCACCAAUUUCCUCGAGCAGAGGUGGCAUACGAACAGUUCAAAUUUAUUCAAAGGUCUCGACGGCUGUGAUCGUAUCUUGGAGAAUGGCGUGAUCGGUCGAGAGGUCGAACGCGUGUUGUACAGGGUGCAAAAGAAAAAGGUACACCUCCCUCGCAGAUACACCUUCAGCAACGGGAGACUGGGUGUCCAACACGUAGACCGCCUACACCGCGGCAUGCGCUCCAAGAUCGACACCUUCGCAAGCGUGGACGACAUCAACCUUUUCAUGCAGUACCUCUUCGAGCUGGGCUACUUUAGCAUCGUUUACGCUCGAGUCGUGACGUCAGAACUCGACAUGGUGACCACUAUCGAGGACAUUGUCUUGAUUACCGCCACCUUGGAGGCUCGCAAAGUGUUGAGGAAGUACUUGACCGCCUCCAACUACUACCAGUUCGUGCUGGGUAAAACCUGGGACCAGCUGAAUGCGUUCGGGGAGUUCCUUCUGGACCUGCCCGGUAAAGAGGUCUUCCACGACCUGGCGGUGGCCACGCAUAAGAUCUUCAACCGGACCUGGGACGAGGUGAGCUGGCCGGUCUCCAUGACGGGGGCCAUGGAGGCGAUAUUCGCGCACAACGCUACCCUGGCCAAGCAGUAUCCUGCCGUCCACUUCGAGCUGGUCGUUGAACGGGAAGCUGACGGUUUCCAUUGUUCCAACGAGUUGGACGUGUUCCUCGUCACGGGCAAGAGCGUCGGGAUCAUCAUCAAAAAUCAGCAGGGGAUCGAGCACAAGUUGGCAUCGAACACCUUUUACUCGAUGCUGGACCGAGGGUGUGAGGACGUGUACGAACAUAUGCGCCCGAGGAUCCUGGUCAAGACUAAGAUAGCCAUGCUUAUCAAUUGA
rnacentral:lncRNA from 1 species